CUCUCAUGUUGCUCAGCGCUCCAGUGCUCCAUGUCCUUUCCUACUGCUCAUCUCUCAUGUUGCUCAGCGCUCCAGUGCUCCAUGUCCUUUCCUACUGCUCAUCUCUCAUGUUGCUCAGCGCUCCAGUGCUCCAUGUCCUUUCCUACUGCUCAUCUCUCAUGUUGCUCAGCGCUCCAGUGCUCCAUGUCCUUUCCUACUGCUCAUCUCUCAUGUUGCUCAGCGCUCCAGUGCUCCAUGUCCUUUCCUACUGCUCAUCUCUCAUGUUGCUCAGUGCUCCAGUGCUCCAACAUCCAUCUAUUGCUGUGACUACCUGGACCUACCUAUUGGUUUUACCAACAUCCAUCUAUUGCUGUGACUACCUGGACCUACCUAUUGGUUUUUACCAAUUGAAACCAAACCAUAUGGAUUUAAAUGAAAAGUCGUUGAAUAAACAUUUCUAAUAGGCUACAUGUCAUAUAAACACUCUAAAUAGGAUGAUUACAUUUCUAAUAGGCUGCAUGUCAUAUAAACACUCUAAAUAGGAUGAUUACAUUUCUAAUAGGCUACAUGUCAUAUAAACACUCUAAAUAGGAUGAUUACAUUUCUAAUAGGCUACAUGUCAUAUAAACACUCUAAAUAGGAUGAUUACAUUUCUAAUAGGCUACAUGUCAUAUAAACACUCUAAAUAGGAUGAUUACAUUUCUAAUAGGCUGCAUGUCAUAUAAACACUCUAAAUAGGUCAGGAGUCAGACCGGGAGCCUAAGAAGGAACGAAAAUAAAUGAAUGAGGCUAUAUUAUUAUUUCAAGUCAAUAGCCUACAUAGAAAUACAUUGUGAAGCAUUUGCGAGUGUGACACAAUAGGCUGGUACGGACAUAAAGAAUUUAAACAACAUUUUGUUGUAUUAAAUAAUUAUAGUCUAUAAAUUGUGCAUAUCGGCUGUGAAUUACUGAGAAUUAAAUACAAAUGAAAUGAUAAAUGACUUAUUAGAGCCUUUUGAAAAUGUUGAGUUUGGCCAUGUCUGUGGCUUCAGGCCCAUGUGAUGGUGACUUCAGGCCCAUGUGAUGGUGACUUCAG
ensembl:lncRNA